ACAUCGGUCACCUAUCGAUCUUGAUUCGGUGAGGGAUGUUCGGUUGGUUGGUCGAGAGUAGCGUCGGCCAGCUCAGUCGACAUAUAGUCGGUAAUCAUUUUCAAGAUUGUCUGUCCAUUUGGUGGGUCAGAGUUAGGUGUCAGUCCGACUGUUUCAGAGAUUGGUCGGCAAAUGGGGGCCAGUCGAUUUUCUCCAACAAGUCCAAUAUUCUAAAUAGGUAUUGAAGUCACCACAUGCCCAGUGUUUAUUAUGUAUUGGAAUUAUCAUCCAUCAUAUGACUAUCUUAUUGUACC
rnacentral:lncRNA from 1 species